rnacentral:rRNA from 1 species
AACAGGAUUAGAUACCCUGGUAGUCCACGCCGUAAACGAUGUCGACUUGGAGGUUGUGCCCUUGAGGCGUGGCUUCCGGAGCUAACGCGUUAAGUCGACCGCCUGGGGAGUACGGCCGCAAGGUUAAAACUCAAAUGAAUUGACGGGGGCCCGCACAAGCGGUGGAGCAUGUGGUUUAAUUCGAUGCAACGCGAAGAACCUUACCUACUCUUGACAUCCAGAGAACUUUCCAGAGAUGGAUUGGUGCCUUCGGGAACUCUGAGACAGGUGCUGCAUGGCUGUCGUCGGCUCGUGUUGUGAAAUGUUGGGUUAAGUCCCGCAACGAGCGCAACCCUUAUCCUUUGUUGCCAGCGGUUAGGCCGGGAACUCAAAGGAGACUGCCAGUGAUAAACUGGAGGAAGGUGGGGAUGACGUCAAGUCAUCAUGGCCCUUACGAGUAGGGCCACACACGUGCUACAAUGGCGCAUACAAAGAGAAGCGACCUCGCGAGAGCAAGCGGACCUCAUAAAGUGCGUCGUAGUCCGGAUUGGAGUCUGCAACUCGACUCCAUGAAGUCGGAAUCGCUAGUAAUCGUGGAUCAGAAUGCCACGGUGAAUACGUUCCCGGGCCUUGUACACACCGCCCGUCACACCAUGGGAGUGGGUUGCAAAAGAAGUAGGUAGCUUAACCUUCGGGAGGGCGCUUACCACUUUGUGAUUCAUGACUGGGGUGAAGUCGUAACAAGGUAACC